rnacentral:rRNA from 1 species
GACGAACGCUGGCGGCGUGCUUAACACAUGCAAGCCGAACGGAAAGGCCCUGCUUUUGUGGGGUGCUCGAGUGGCGAACGGGUGAGUAACACGUGAGUAACCUGCCCUUGACUUUGGGAUAACUUCAGGAAACUGGGGCUAAUACCGGAUAGGAGCUCCUGCUGCAUGGUGGGGGUUGGAAAGUUUCGGCGGUUGGGGAUGGACUCGCGGCUUAUCAGCUUGUUGGUGGGGUAGUGGCUUACCAAGGCUUUGACGGGUAGCCGGCCUGAGAGGGUGACCGGCCACAUUGGGACUGAGAUACGGCCCAGACUCCUACGGGAGGCAGCAGUGGGGAAUACUGCACAAUGGGCGGAAGCCUGAUGCAGCAACGCCGCGUGCGGGAUGACGGCCUUCGGGUUGUAAACCGCUUUCGCCUGUGACGAAGCGUGAGUGACGGUAAUGGGUAAAGAAGCACCGGCUAACUACGUG